CAACUGGUGGGCGACCGGCGCACGGGUGAGUAACACGUGUGCAACCAACCCCGUACCGGGAGAUAACCCGCGGAAACGUGGGCUAACAUCCCAUAACACUGUAUCAUCGCAUGGUGAUGCAUUUAAAAUUCCGGUGGUACGGGACGGGCACGCGCGACAUUAGGUAGUUGGCGGGGUAACGGCCCACCAAGCCGACGAUGUCUAGGGGUUCUGAGAGGAAGGUCCCCCACACUGGAACUGAGACACGGUCCAG
rnacentral:rRNA from 1 species